rnacentral:lncRNA from 1 species
AUCAAGAAUUAGUUUGCCAGUUUGUCAGUCAAGUCAAGUUCGCCAGUCAAGUCAAGUUUGCAUGUCUGCCAGUCCGCAUCUGCUUGUUUGCAAACCCAUGUCGUAUACCGCCAUGAGUUUGACGGGGGGUGUUGGAAAAUAUUAGGAUUUUAGUUUAUUUGAAUAUUUGGUUUUCUGGGCUUAGCCCGUUAACAUUAGGGUUUCGGUUUCUUACCUUUUUAGGUUAGGGUUAGUUUAUUAUAAAUAGCAUGUUUGUUAUUCAGUUUAGAAUAAGCUAGUCACAAUGUAGCCUCUUAAGGUUUUGUAGCCGUUUCGGCAUUUUCGUUUAUUUAAUAACAUUCCUAUUAUUUUGUUAAUCUCGUUCGUUGCGCACUCUGAUAUUCAACUCAACAUUGGAUACCAUUAGUGGCACUAGGUCACGCUGCUACGAUAUAAGCAACCAAAUGUCCUAUUCUUCUUACUAGAAUUUAAUAUGAAGAUGACUAGGUAUCGGACCUUUUCCAUGGGUAGCACUUCUGAUAAAUUAUCAACUUCAGUCUACUUCUCGUUGGGCAUUGGGUAAAUGGAAUAUUCUCCAUUUCAGUAAGCUAGUUUGUUUUCUCAGUACUUAGUGCCAAUUCAUAGGUGUACCCAGGUAUGUAUAUUUGUUGUGCUUCCUAUGUUUAGACUUGAGAAGUGGUAGUUCUGUUUGUUGUAGUCAUUGUAGUUUCAUUAUUUAGUAGUACGAUGCUUAUCUUCAAAAGGCUGACGCUGAACUAUGGAAUUCGAUAGUUCGUAGAAAGAACCCUUUAAAACCUCUUUACAUUAUUAUCUUCUUAAUGUUGGAAUUUUUUUCAUAUUUUUUCUUAAUUCUUGUAUAUAAUCAUGGACAUUUAAAUCAAUGUUUGAUGGGGUUCCAUUUAGAUUGUGAGACUCAUACACUGUGUUCUAAAUAACGAGCAGCAGAUGCAAUUUGGUAUGAUGUGCCUAUGUAUGCAAUCCAUGUGCGUGCAUGUGGGCUCAAUAUCUAUAUGUCGUGAUCCCAUAUUUUGUUGUAUUAGUGUGUAUUCUCUCUAUAGAGCACAAUGAUGCUUGUUAGAUAUUUUCUGGUUGGUUUAUGAUCCGACUUGUGGACCAACUGACUUGACAAAACUCAAUGAGACUUUCAAAAGCAAUGACAUGUCUAAUUGUGCUUUUAUCAAUCAGUGAAUCUUUUCCAUGCCUUUAUGCUCUGCAAAGUAGUUACAAUCUGUUAGUUUUGUUCUGUACAUGCUUCGUCCACAACUCUUAAGUCCAAGUUGAAAUGGUUUAUUUCUUCCAGUAUCGUAAAUGAUCUGGAUGACUUAGUAACGGAGUUCAGAUUUCUGCUGCUGCCAUUCUCAAUAUUUUGAUUAUCAAUAUGGACUGAUAUGGCGGCUGUGUUUUGAAGUUAGGUAUAGUCAAUUUAAUGAACUAAUAUGAAGGCUAUAUUAUGGUAGGCACGGUGUUUUUCUCAAAAGGUGGUCCAGUUUUUUUGAGUGACUGCACAGUAAGCUCCAAAACCUACAGAAACAGUACCAUGAUAGCAUCAAGGAACUGUAAGCUCUUUGAUGCUGUUGUGGUAGAGUUUCUGUAGGUUUGGAUACCAGAGUUUCCAUAUAUGAAAUGUUUUAUUGGUUACCAAGCAUCUAGGUGUAGAAGCAUGUUCCUGUUGAAAUAGCAUCCUUUGUUAAUUUGUGCGUAUUUUGUGUGGGGUUUGAGGGUUUAGGUUGUUUAUUUAGUAUUUAUAUUCAAAUUAGUAGUAAAGGAUCUUGUUUCUCAUAUGGGCUAUAUAUUUGUUGCAGAUACACGUCGAACGGACAGCGCCAAGAGUGAAGAGGUAGUGUUUUAAGUUGAAAACAAUUAAGUUUAGGUUGGUUUGUUAAAGGAUAAAGAGAGAAGGGUGGGAAGCACAGGAGUAGAACCUUGCAAUGUUGAUUGCAUUGAUGAAACUCGUGUUAAAUCAUGGUGGUCUGAUUUGGUUAUUUGUAAUCAAGUCUAGACUGUGGUUUAUAACUUGAUAUUACCCUAUGUACUUGGGUCUAAUUAUUUUUUAAGAUAUACUUGUUAGCCUUAUAAGGUUAUACAAUUAAAACACAAUCGAAUGAGUGAUUAACCUAAUUCCAACGGUGGCCAUGGAAGUUGAACACGAAAACAGGUAGGGCACGGCAACACCAAGAUCUUCUACAAACUCCUAGCCGAAUACAACUACUCUAUGAGAAGCAUUAUGUUGUGUGUUCUAGGGCUUAUAAGGACCGGUGUUUUAUAUAAGCUAAAAGUUAGGGUUUCCAUCCAUAAAGGAAACCUAAACUUACUUUCUUAGCCUCCAAGUCAAGUAUCAUAAUCAUAUUAAAUUAAGGAUUCCAUCAAUCCUAUUUCCAAUAUAAGACACCUAUAUAGGAUUGAUAUCUUUAAGAGAUCAAAUCACAAUCAACAUUAUUCUCCAAUAUUACAUUCCUAUUACAUGUAGUAGACCACAUAAAGGUUGAUUUAUAUUGGAUAAAUCCAACAUUCUCCCACUUGGUCUACAAAAUGUAAUAUUCAUGUUUACACUUGAGAUUGGAGACUAAUGUCACUUUAGUGGCCAUGUAACAGUGAUUACAUUUCGUCCUUAAUGCAAUUUCGGUCAAAUGCAUUUCUUAACAUAGAACUAACAAGGUUGUAGGAUUGACACAACCCAGAACCUUCAUAAUCACACAUGCUAAGAUCCGCAUUCACAUGAAACACAAAUUAUGAUCAAAAGAUGAAACUUUAAAUUAACCAAAAUGUCUUACUUUAUAUCAUCUCAGGUCCACCUUAUUGUAACAAACAAGUUACACUUUAUGCUUCUUCAAAGCCUUAAAUCUGCUAAUACAGAUAUCCUUCAUAUCUAAUAAAACCACAUUAACCUGCAGGUGUGAUUACAUCUCCAAAACAAUCAUACAUCACUUUCAUUAGAUCAGUAACAAUACAAACAAUGUUGGUAGCCAACGAACACAACUGAAAAUACCAAAUAGGCACAUGUCCAAGUAAAAUAUCCAAAAAACUUCAUAAAACAAAUUAAUUCAACACUUGAGAGCAAGAUGAAUUAACAUGUUUUGACACUGAUCUAUGCACCAUACCAGUUACUUUCAUAGUGAUUUCCAACACAUGUGGGCAAUAUGGAAAUCCUCACAACUGGGGCAAUGCACAAACCAUGCCAUGCCAUUUAAUAUGCAAUUUGAUAACAACUUGAUAUCUAAUAUAUAUUUCAUCAGAUAAGUGACUAGCACACAAAAAAUGUGACUUAAUGAAUCCAAUUGGAGAUUAAAAUGAAUAUAUGGAUUCUAUACAUACCUUAGAGGUCAUCUGCAAUUGUAAGGCAUUACUAACACGAAACUAAAACUCCCACUGAUCUGCAACAUCAUCACUUAAUUUGCAAAUCAAUACUUAAAUCAUAUUUUUGAAAAUAUGCCUUUGGGAAUAGCCUUACUCAAUCAAUGAAUGCAUAUUACCUCAAUGAAAGCAUUCACUGAUGUUCCACAAAAAACAUGCAUCCAACAACCAUCUUAUAUGUAUUAAUAAGUCCACAUUUGUGCUAAGUGCUUAUGAGCCCCAAAAUAAAUGAUUAACCGAGAAAUCCAAAUGAUUGCAAGUAACAGAAAAAUGUACGCAUAUACCAAGUAUCCAUUUGUGCAACUUAAACAUAUUAUAGACAUUUGAGUAACACAAAUUAAUGGAAGAUAGAAUAAUGCUUUAAUAGACUCAUGCAAGUCCACUUAGUGCUCAAAAUUUUAGAACAACUCCUACUAAGUUUUCAGAGUUUACACUUGCAAAUAAGUUAAUGAGUGUGAAGCCCAAAUUUCGCUCACUAAUUCUCCCACUUAGGAAAAUACUCGUUAAUAUAUUCUUUCAAAAAUGUACCUAGAGAAAAUUUCUUUAUAUUUUAGACAUAAUAAAAUAGACAUCACAACCAACAUAAAGUUGUCAAACAGAAUUUCAGAAAUGAGUUACACUUACUUUAGAAUUUAUCAUAAUUAAUUUACACGCUUGAUUGCUACCAAAUUUAUACUGAUCAAAAUAGACAUACUAAUCUUCAAAAAAUACAAAUGCAGAGCCGUUUUGGGUCAAAAUAGUAGUCCAAAGUCACGUCUCAAAAAGACCAACACAAUCUGCCUGUAAAAAAUGUCUACACGAGCAUGGGUUACUAGUAAAUUCACCAUAAUUAAAAUCGACGGCACAAAAUUGCGAAAAUUUGCAGACACAUAUUAGACAUCUAUAAGUUAAACAUAUCCAAAAUUCAGGUCAUUUGGUGACCAUUAGAUGUGGCAUUCACCCGAUUUAAAUCAAGACACGCAAUCUGCAGAAACAAUUAUGUGCAUCUACCAUGAAUUUAUGCAUCCAUAACAAAUUCAAUUUCAUAUCAUUUCAAUUUCAAUGUCCAAAGGAAACUUUAGUAGUCAAAUUUCAUCAUCUAAAUUGACAUCAUAGUUCAAAUUGAAAAGAUUUACAAGCAUAAGAUUUAAACAAUGUGUACCUUAGCAAUCCUUGAUUAACCUUCAUGGGUCUAAUACUUUGCAUCAACAAGUCUCAUGAAGAGACACAAAAAUACGUCAUGAUGCAACCAAUUUUCAUGCCUUCAAACCACAACCUUUUAUGGGGCUCAUUGUGGAAAUAUUUGUAACUAAUGGCAUAAAACUUUAUCCCAAUAAACUUCAUGAAACUAAAUUAAUUUUCACCUGUAGGCAAGAAAAUUAACUAGUUUCUAGUACUAGAAUGGACAAUUAUCAGACAACAUGCAUGGUGUCACUCCCUGACUGCAUGCUAUUGAUUUUGGAUUUUGGAUGUCAAAGCAUGCAUUCACAUGAGUGUACCGAAUGUGCUCAUGCAUUCCUUGUUAAUCAUAAGAGGAUUACGUAGAAUGGUAGAAAAACACGUCCUUAACUCGUGCAUAACAUGUGAACACUUAUGUCACUAGGAGAAGUAUUGUUUACAUACAAUGCUUUUCUCUCGUAUAAAUGGUUAUGUUAUUUGAUGACAGCACAAUGAUAGGAUGUUUGUUAGAGCAGUUCCACUAGAGGUGGAAUUGACACACCCCGGCCGAGAUCAAGGCAUGUUGGCCAUCACGUGAGAGUGACGUAGCCAUGUGCACAGUGCGGAAGCAAUAAUGAUAGAAAAUAUAAGAACAAUUAAAAACCGAAAUACUAGAGUGCACUACU